rnacentral:rRNA from 1 species
UACGUAGGGUGCAAGCGUUGUCCGGAAUUAUUGGGCGUAAAGAGCUCGUAGGCGGUCUGUCGCGUCUGCUGUGAAAACUCAGGGCUUAACCCUGAGCUUGCAGUGGGUACGGGCAGACUAGAGUGCGGUAGGGGAGACUGGAAUUCCCGGUGUAGUGGUGAAAUGCGUAGAUAUCGGGAGGAACACCAGUGGCGAAGGCGACUACCUGGCCUGUUCUUGACGCUGAGGCGCGAAAGCUAGGGGAGCAAACGGG